UACGUAGGGGGCUAGCGUUGUCCGGAAUCAUUGGGCGUAAAGCGCGUGUAGGCGGUCCGGUAAGUCCGCUGUGAAAGUCGGGGGCUCAACCCUCGGAUGCCGGUGGAUACUGUCGGGCUUGAGUACGGAAGAGGCGAGUGGAAUUCCUGGUGUAGCGGUGAAAUGCGCAGAUAUCAGGAGGAACACCGGUGGCGAAGGCGGUUCUCUGGGCAUUACCUGACGCUGAGGCGCGAAAGCCAGGGGAGCAAACGGG
rnacentral:rRNA from 1 species